UACGGGGGGGGCAAGCGUUGUUCGGAAUUAUUGGGCGUAAAGGGCUCGUAGGCGGCGUAUUAAGUCAGACGUGAAAUCCCUCAGCUUAACUGGGGAACUGCGUCUGAUACUGGAUGGCUUGGAUUCGGGAGAGGAAUGCGGAAUUCCAGGUGGAGCGGUGAAAUGCGUAGAUAUCUGGAGGAACACCGGUGGCGAAGGCGGCAUUCUGGACCGACAUUGACGCUGAGGAGCGAAAGCCAGGGGAGCAAACGGG
rnacentral:rRNA from 1 species